rnacentral:rRNA from 1 species
CCUACGGGUGGCAGCAGUGGGGAAUAUUGCACAAUGGGGGAAACCCUGAUGCAGCAACGCCGCGUGCGGGAGGAAGUAUUUCUGUAUGUAAAGCUCUAUCAGCAGGGAAUAGAACAGAAGCUACCUGAAAAAGAAGCCCCGGCUAACUACGUGCCAGCAGCCUCGGUAAUACGUAGGGGGCAAGCGUUAUCCGGAGUUACUGGGUUUAACGGUAGCGUAGACGGAAAGGCAAGUCAGAAGUGAAAGCCCAAGGCUCAACCAUGGAACUGCCUUUGAAACUGUCAAACUAGAGUACGGGAGAGGUAAGAGGAAUUCCUAGUGUAGCGGUGAAAUGCGUAGAUAUCAGGCGGAACACCAGUGGCGAAGGCGUCUUACUAGACCAAAACUGACGUUGAGGCACGAAAGCGUGGGGAGCAAACAGGAUUAGAUACCCUUGUAGUC